rnacentral:rRNA from 1 species
AGUGAACGCUGGCGGUAGGCCUAACACAUGCAAGUCGAACGGCAGCACAGUAAUAGCUUGCUCUUACGGGUGGCGAGUGGCGGACGGGUGGGGAAUACAUCGGAAUCUACUUUUUCGUGGGGGAUAACGUAGGGAAACUUACGCUAAUACCGCAUACGACCUACGGGUGAAAGCAGGGGAUCUUCGGACCUUGCGCGAUUGAAUGAGCCGAUGUCGGAUUAGCUAGUUGGCGGGGUAAAGGCCCACCAAGGCGACGAUCCGUAGCUGGUCUGAGAGGAUGAACAGCCACACUGGGACUGAGCCACGGUCCAGAGUCCUACGGGAGGCAGCAGUGGGGAAUAUUGGACAAUGGGCGCAAGCCUGAUCCAGCCAUACCGCGUGGGUGAAGAAGGCCUUCGGGUUGUAUAGCCCUUUUGUGGGGAAAGAAACGCAGCAGGUUAAUACCCCGCUGUUCUGACGGUACCCAAAGAAUAAGCACCGGCUAACUUCGUG